CGGAGCAGACCCGGACCUGUUCCGUGACUAGCGGAGAUGCGGCGAGGCCGGAAGGGCAAAGCGCCCAGCCAGCGUUGAGGGGGAGUAUGAUUGUUUUUUCUUUUGCGCUCUCCCUCCCUGUCUGUUUGACUAGGGUAACGAGCAGCACGCACGGGCAAUUGGGUUGCCGUGACCCUCUAGAUACGAAUUGGCAAAGUAGACAACCCCUCCCUACCUCCCUCCCCCCCCCCUCUCUCUCGCUCUCUUUCUCCGAAGGGCCCGGCAGUACCUGCAUGGCCUGGUGCACUCAGGGGGGAACGUGGCUAUACCUUGCCCUUUGCGGAAUACCAGGGUGUAAUGUCUGCCCGACUGGGUCCCAGUGUCGUCGACGGUGUCGAGGUCGAAGAGAUUCUCCGUGACGCCCUCCGCGACGUCACGUUUUCCUUUUUUUCCCCCUCGGGGCCAAGCCAGCUCUCCUCAGGAGGAACUGGCCGGUUGUGCUUAAGUGCGCACCAAAGCCUCUUCUCAUCUCCCCUCGCUUUCUCCCUCCCUCCCUCCCUCCCUCCCUUUUUGUAAGGGGUUAAACUUUUCAUAACCCGGAUCGCUCCAAUGCGGGAGGGCCGUAUGAGACGUGCGCCAGUUGCCUGAUUCAAACUUAACUCAGUCAAGUUUGCUAGUGGAAAUGUUCCUCUUGCCAAAAGCACCACAAUAUGUCUGCCUUUCAGGAUUGCCGAGGCAGCUGAUUGGAUGAGUGGCUGCACAGAGAGGGGCUGGACCUGACGGAGCGCGAGACCAGAGGUUGCGCGAGGCGGAGGAUGAGUCCAAACGGUGAAUACCGGCCAGGAGGGGAGCAGAACCAUCGGCCGACCUUUGCCCGUGACGAGCGACCGACACGACACGAGACGGACGGACGGGUGCAGAUGCGGCGAGGGCAAAGCGCCCCGCCAGCAUUUAAGGAGAGUAUGACUUUGUUUUUCCUUUGGUGCUUUCUUUCUUUCUUUCCUUCCCUCCACUUUUUCACUGGGUGUGCACACUGGCUGUCUGCAUGAUGCCUCUUUCUUUCUCAGCGCAGCGUCAUUUUGCAAUAUUGUUGUUUUUUUUUAAUACAUGAAGUGAACUGUUUGGACUGUAAUUGUGUGUGUGUACCUCUGAACCUGAAUUAAACUGUGAACUGAAUUCAAGUGGUCCAUUUUAAACAUUGGCAUGAGCACUAUAGUGCGUAAUCAGAGUUAAAUGACAAUAUACAAACUGGAAUCAUUUGAGACAUUCUCAAUGAUAAGGCAAUUGUAAAGUUAGUCUCAAACAAAAUUGCCUUGUUAAUUAUGCAGUGUCAGGCUUUUUAUUUUUACUACACAAAAAAGCUGAAUGCAUUCUAAAUGGUUGACAAAAGCCAAAUAGCCUGACACCCAUAGAUGCAAACGACAAGCGUUGCCAUCGAUAAGUCAUCUUUUGCAACCCUGCUUUAAGAUGGCCACCGAACUCAAUCUUGCUUUGUUGGUGCAUUUCUGUAUGAGUAAAAGUCUUUUAAUCAAGUCUGAGGCUUUUUUUAAUUAAUGCAUCAUGUGGGCAUUCUUGUGAAUAAAGUCCACGUUGGUGUGUUUUCUUCCUGUUUAUGGUCUUGUAAAUAAAGUCGACUUUGGUGUCCGUCAUCAUUCACGAUGCGCCUCAAUUGAUGCUGAAUCUCUUAAAAAUGAACCUAAUUGCAUGUUUUGUUACAGGGCUUGGUUUCAUUUGCUGGCUGACUACAAAGAAGGCUGUUGCUGUACAGUCCAGGGCGUUGCUAAAGUAAAUUGAAUUUAUAAAGCCAGCAUGUAACGUCCAGGGCCUUGGCUUUCAAUUCAAAGCACAGUUGCGUGUUGCGGCCAGCCUUUGUGCAUGUACUGGGUGCCACCACCCAGUUCAGCGUUAAGUGAAGGCCACACAGUUGAGGAACUCGUAAUACCGGCAUCUUUAUUAAAUUGACCUGAUCAGACAGGCGAGAUGAAUUCCAAGUGCUGCCACCUUGUGGCGGCGUAUUUGCCUCAACCUGUCCAACGCUCCAUUUAGCUGAAUGCAAUCAUUUUUAUCUUUAAACAACUACAUUACAAAUGAUAGGUGCCCUAAUUAGACAGCUGGGUCAAUGCGACCCGUUUUUUGCGGUUUGUUUUGCCCAAAGCAAGCUAACAAAUACACACAAUGCACACUUGCUCCAUUUUUGCUCUUAUUUAUUUUGUUUUAUUUAUUUAUUCAUCACUCAUUUAUUCAUUGCGCCUUGUUUUUAUUUCUUUGUGUUUACUUGUAUGUUUAUUGUGUACUAUGUCUUGUCACCGUGGGAUAGUGGGAACGUUAUUUCGAUUUCUUUGUGUCUUGGCAUGUGAAGAAAUUGACAAUAAAGCAGACUUUGACAAGUA